UACGUAGGCAGCGAGCGUUGUUCGGAGUUACUGGGCGUAAAGAGUGCGUAGGCGGUUUUUCUAAGUUUGGUGUGAAAUCUCCCGGCUUAACUGGGAGGGUGCGCCGAAAACUGGAAGGCUUGAGUAUGGGAGAGGUAAGCGGAAUUCCUGGUGUAGCGGUGAAAUGCGUAGAUAUCAGGAGGAACACCUGCGGUGUAGACGGCUUACUGGACCAUAACUGACGCUGAGGCACGAAAGCGUGGGUAGCAAACAGG
rnacentral:rRNA from 1 species